CCCAGUAUCUGAACCAGUGAACCCCAGGCUGCCGAAGCGGAACGUGCAAACUGAACCGCUGUGGCACUGGGCUGGCCCCUCUCAAUUCAUUUCUAAUCAACCUGUCCCUCCUUCGUGCCUCCUGGAUCACCCUGAGGCCCUAGUGUGCAUUCAUUCAUUCAUUCAGCAUGUUUGCCAAGAUUCCACACAUGCAGGGCACUGCGGAGUGAAAGGAACAGCAGUGAAGCUGGACGUGGUCCUGCCCUUGUGGGGCAGCCGUCCGUCAGGGUGGACAGACAACAGCAACACAGCUCCAGAAGUGCCGUGAGACAAGAAAAGCAAGGGGGCAGCCUCCCUUAGAGGGUUUUGACAAGGAGCCAUGCAUCUGAUUUCUGUUCCACGAGCUCUCUGGCCAGUGCGGAGGCCAUGAGGAUGAAGACAAGCACCUGGACACAAAUACAGACUCAGUAUGUUGUACGCUGGAAACUAAUGUUAUGUCAAUUCUAUCUCAAUUUUAAAAAGAGAUUUAAAAAA